UACGUAGGGGGCGAGCGUUGUCCGGAUUUAUUGGGCGUAAAGAGCUCGUAGGCGGUUUGGCAAGUCGGGUGUGAAAACUCCGGGCUCAACUCGGAGACGCCACUCGAUACUGCCAUGACUCGAGUCCGGUAGGGGAGUGCGGAAUUCCUGGUGUAGCGGUGAAAUGCGCAGAUAUCAGGAGGAACACCGGUGGCGAAGGCGGCACUCUGGGCCGGUACUGACGCUGAGGAGCGAAAGCGUGGGGA
rnacentral:rRNA from 1 species